AUAUAGUACAUGCCACCAAGGGAAAGAUAGCCUCAUAGAAACACGAUGAUGUGUCCUCAUCCACCUUAUUCUCCGGGUCUGGCAACAUUUGACUUCUGACUCUUCCCCAAAGUCAAAAUGACUAUAAAAAGGUCUAUGUUUUGUUUUCAUUAGUACAUUGAAGCAGCCGUAAUGAUACACCUCAGAUGCUGUAGAAAGAGGACUUGCAGAAUUCAGCAGUGAAGCCAUCAGGACCUGGGCUUUUCUUCUUCCUGGGCAGAGAGAUUUUGCAGAAAGCUCACACCUCUCACAUGAUUGCAGCUGAGACCUCAGCGUUUACAUCCCGAAACACUGACACUAACUCUUCUACUCAUCUGGUGAGGGCCAGUCCCCAGGGCGAGAUCCGGUCCUUUCUGCAUGUUCCCGAAGUGACCUGCCCAAGAGAGAUCUGGUUUACAGAAGGACUACUCGAUGUGAAGUGAUGUUCCUGCCUUGGACCCAUGGAUUCACUCCAUCUUUGUCAUUCUAUCUCUGGUGGACAUUGAACUUUAUAAAAUGUGAUAAAAAGUACUUUUAGUCUUGGAAGGAGCAAACUGGACUGUCUGAAAAACAACUUUUUAAGGUAGAUUUUUCUUGUUGUUAGUUAUGCCUGUGAUCUUUUCUCUCCUGAAGAAAAAGGCAAAGCAUGUCUAUAAAGUAGUAUUUAUUUCAUAGCAAGAGAUAUUUGAUUAUUCAUUUUCUCAGUGGGA
rnacentral:lncRNA from 1 species